UGGGGACUUCGCAGAUUCCCCGCCGCCAGUAAGACGCCUUCCUCGCGUCCAAAUCUGC
rnacentral:ncRNA from 1 species